rnacentral:rRNA from 1 species
UACGUAGGGUGCGAGCGUUGUCCGGAAUUAUUGGGCGUAAAGGGCUCGUAGGCGGUUUGUCGCGUCGGGAGUGAAAUCCACUGGCUUAACUGGUGGCUUGCUUUCGAUACGGGCAGGCUCGAGUUCGGUAGGGGAGACUGGAAUUCCUGGUGUAGCGGUGAAAUGCGCAGAUAUCAGGAGGAACACCGGUGGCGAAGGCGGGUCACUGGACCAUAACUGACGCUGAGGCGCGAAAGCUAGGGGAGCAAACAGG